AUGAACGUUGACACCUCUACCUCCGAUCUGAUAGCUCAAACCUUGGGGUGCAGCACGUCCUGCUUCCCGCAAACGUAUCUAGGCCUCCCUCUGUCGCCGCACAAACUACCCCCCUCAACCUUCCAACCAAUUCGGUCCUCCUAUAGGAGCAUGCUGCCUGGUUGGUGCGCGAAGCUUCUAGAUCGGGCUGGUAGGCUUGUGCUAAUCUCCUCCGUUCUCGACUCCCUUGCCACACACUUUAUGUCAGUGUUCAAAAUUCCAAAGAAGACCUUAAAAAUCUUAGACACAAUUCGUAGGGCCUUCUUCUGGGCCGAUGAAGAAAGUUGCACCGGCUCAAAAUGUCUUAUUGCUUGG
rnacentral:rRNA from 1 species